rnacentral:rRNA from 1 species
GACGGACGCUGGCGGCGUGCCUAAUACAUGCAAGUUGAGCGCUGAAGGUUGGUACUUGUACCAACUGGAUGAGCAGCGCACGGGUGAGUAACGCGUGGGGAAUCUGCCUUUGAGCGGGGGACAACAUUUGGAAACGAAUGCUAAUACCGCAUAAAAACUUUAAACACAAGUUUUAAGUUUGAAAGAUGCAAUUGCAUCACUCAAAGAUGAUCCCGCGUUGUAUUAGCUAGUUGGUGAGGUAAAGGCUCACCAAGGCGAUGAUACAUAGCCGACCUGAGAGGGUGAUCGGCCACAGUGGGACUGAGACACGGCCCAAACUCCUACGGGAGGCAGCAGUAGGGAAUCUUCGGCAAGGGGCGAAAGACUGAGCGAGCAACGCCGCGUGAGUGAAGAAGGUUGUCGGGUCGGAAAACUCUGUUGGUAGGGAAGAACGUGGGUGAGAGUGGAAAGCUCAUCAAGUGACGGUAACUACCCAGAAAGGGACGGCUAACUACGUG